GAAAUGCGAUAAGUAGUGUGAAUUGCAGAAUUCAGUGAAUCAUCGAAUCUUUGAACGCACAUUGCGCCCCUCGGUAUUCCGUGGGGCAUGCCUGUUCGAGCGUCAUCUACACCCUCAAGCUCUGCUUGGUGUUGGGCGUCUUUCCCGCCUCCUUCGCGCGCGGACUCGCCCCAAAUCCAUUGGCGGCGGCCCUUGCCUCCCUCUCGCGCAGCACAUUGCGCUUCUCGAGGCGCGGCGGACCGCGUCCAGCAAGCAACCGUCACACCGUCUUUGACCUCGGAUCAGGUAGGGAUACCCGCUGAACUUAAGC
rnacentral:misc_RNA from 1 species